GACCAAGCGUAGUAAAAGAAUCCACUUACGGUUUCCUCAUAUGAUGACUCGAAUGCCAGGGUUCCAAGUGUGUAGUGGCCUUCCUACGUACAUGAAAACUAUGUAAACUGUUCCAUCAUCCAACUUAGGCUUUGUAUACUCAGACAAAGAACGAUGGGUGAAAAAGAUGGAGACCACAAAGUACCCAUGGAAUGCUGUUGCAAUCCCUCAGAGUAAACUUCAUUUCCACAUAAAUUUUCUGGGCUGCAUCACGGGAGAUCCAAUUUGAACGAAGCCAGUUGUUUUGGUUGGGUUCCAUGACAUUACAUACCUGCACUUCCCUUCUGAAGAGGCAGAGAGUUGGACAAAUGAGAGAAGCAGCUGACAAGAGAAGAUGGGAGAGUGUGGGUGGGAAGAUGGAGGUUAGAAGAAAAAAUGUGCAUAGUAUGCUCUGUGCAUCUUGGGUGAUGAAAUUAAAUCGGUUUGUGUUGUGUGGCAUGCAUGAUGUGGUGGGUGGAGUCAAGUUGAGAGAUAAUGUAAGAAGAGCAGAUUGAUAGUGUGUGGGGAAAUCAAUGUGCUGCAUAGGGUUAGGACUAGGGGCAGUGGCUUAUCACUGGUGGUGGGCCAGGCCUGACUUAUCUCAUCCAGGAUAUCACAAUGGCAAUAAUGAAUCUUUGAAGUAAUUGCUGUUAAACUAUUUUCCCCCAGAAAAAGGGUGCUAGACUGCAAUUUGCAGACAGUUUAGUUUAGACCUGUUUAAAGCAAAGGGGAUUCCUCUGGAAUUGACCUGGUUGAGGACAGAUGUACAUUCAAA